GUCGAACGCUUCUUUUCCCACCGGAGCUUGCUCCACCGGGAAAAGAGGAGUGGCGAACGGGUGAGUAACACGUGGGUAACCUGCCCAUCAGAAGGGGAUAACACUUGGAAACAGGUGCUAAUACCGUAUAACAAUCGAAACCGCAUGGUUUCGUUUUGAAAGGCGCUUUACGGUGCCGCUGAUGGAUGGACCCGCGGUGCAUUAGCUAGUUGGUGAGGUAACGGCUCACCAAGGCCACGAUGCAUAGCCGACCUGAGAGGGUGAUCGGCCACAUUGGGACUGAGACACGGCCCAAACUCCUACGGGAGGCAGCAGUAGGGAAUCUUCGGCAAUGGACGAAAGUCUGACCGAGCAACGCCGCGUGAGUGAAGAAGGUUUUCGGAUCGUAAAACUCUGUUGUUAGAGAAGAACAAGGGUGAGAGUAACUGUUCACCCCUUGACGGUAUCUAACCAGAAAGCCACGGCUAACUACGUGCCAGCAGCCGCGGUAAUACGUAGGUGGCAAGCGUUGUCCGGAUUUAUUGG
rnacentral:rRNA from 1 species